rnacentral:rRNA from 1 species
GUGUCAGCCGCCGCGGUAAUACGAAGGGGGCUAGCGUUGUUCGGAAUUAUUGGGCGUAAAGGGCGCGUAGGCGGAAUGGCAAGUCUGGCGUGAAAUCUCCACCGCUCACCGGGGAGGGGCCGUUGGAUACUACCAUUCUGGAGUUCGGUAGAGGACCAUGGAAUUUCUGGUGUAACGGUGGAAUGCGUAGAUAUCAGAAGGAACACCUGUGGCGAAGGCGGUGGUCUGGGCCGAAACUGACGCUGAGGCGCGAAAGCUGGGGGAGCGAACGGGAUUAGAUACCCCGGUAGUCC